rnacentral:rRNA from 1 species
UACAGGGGGGGGCAAGCGUUGCUCGGAAUCACUGGGGCGUAAAGGGUGCGUAGGCGGGUCUUUAAGUCAGGGGUGAAAUCCUGGAGCUCAACUCCAGAACUGCCUUUGAUACUGAAGAUCUUGAGUUCGGGAGAGGUGAGUGGAACUGCGAGUGUAGAGGUGAAAUUCGAUAGAUAUUCGCAAGAACACCAGUGGCGAAGGCGGCUCACUGGCCCGAUACUGACGCUGAGGCACGAAAGCGUGGGGAGCAACAGG